rnacentral:lncRNA from 1 species
GGCAAAGGAAGGGCAGGGCAGGCUUUAAGGACAGGGACAGGGCUGUCAGAGGCUGAGGCUAGGGAGGGGCAGGAAGGGGUGUGAGGCAGGGCGGAAGAGAGCAGGGCCCUGGGCAGGUGCUGAGCCAGGUCCUGCAGGUCACCCAGUCGCUUGAGUCCACGAAUGCUGGAGGCAGGCACUGGAGAGCCAGGGUGGUUCAGCCGCAGCUCCUCUGAGCAGGGAGUCAAACAGGUUUGGGUGACCCUUGUGAGCAAGGUCCCGGGGCAUCACUAAUUUCCACCCCCUUCUCUGGUAAUGACUCUGGUGCGGCCUGGCCCUGGCAGUCACAGCUCCUCUCUCUCCCUAUAGGGCUGAAACAGACACCAGCUCUCCAGGACCAGCUGCUCCAGGAAUCAACCUCUACCCUGAACCAGGUCCCUGAGGACCACCACGUGGCUGCAACACAGCAGGAGUUCACAGUCCAGAGGAGAAGCCCGAUGCUGAACAGAGAAUCACAUCCGUGAGCAACACAAAAGGCAAGGCAAACCCUGGGCAGAUGCCCCCGGGACUGUGUGUUAUGGGCCUACAGGAAGCCUCUCCCAAUGAAAAAGCAAUUUUUCAGCCAGAACCUCCACCAGUGUCUUUCAAACUGUCUCAAUCAAAAACCUCUGAAAGCCACUGGCCUAGAGUUAGAGGAAGAGUUAGCCAUGAGAAAUGGUGGUGACACAGGUUCCAAAAGAAGAAACAAUAGGAGCCUGGACCUGUGGCCUUCCCUGCCUCCACCUGGGCCUCAACCGUCACGACCACCUGGCCUUUGAGAAAUCAAAUGGCUCACGCUGUGUCUCAGAGCUGCAACGAUCCAACGCCCUCCAUCCUUCAGAGGCUGUCUGAGUCCGGGGACACAACUCCCACCCUCCUCUCCUGCCAGCCGCGGCCCGUGGCUGCUCUCUUCACUUCGUCCCGCUUCGCCCCGACUGUGGAUCUACCCGCUCCCUUCUCCCUCAGUCCCCAAAGCACCAGACUCACAGGCCUGCUGUGUGACCCACUUUUACCGACCUUUCGGGGAGAGUAGAGGGCAUUUGUGACUCAGCUCAGAGCAGGAAACACAUCUCACGUCAACUGUCAGACAGCGCUGCUCCGAAUCCCAUCACAGUGCUCCAGCAGGGGGCGUCCUCACCGGCCGCGGCCACAGCCACGGCUCAACCCGGCCUAGCUCCCAGACACCCUCCUUCCACCGCCUGUUUUCCACCGUCCCCGCCUGCUCUUUCAAGCCAGCAGCAAACAACACCCUAAUCCGUGUCUUUAUUAUUCAAAGACCUUAAGCACUCUUUCCCACCUCGUUCCCAUCUUGAUUAUUUCAGGGAAUGAAUUAGGGAUUCACCUUUACAAUCAAAAAAGUUCUCUCAAAGCCAGGCUACUGGAGUUCUAAUUCUGCCUUCCCACUUUUACUAGCUGUGAAAUCUCAGGAAAGUUACUUAACCUCUCUCUGUCUCAUUUUCCUCAUCUUUAAAAAACAGGAUGAUAAUAUUUAGCUCCUAAGAUGGUUGUGAGGAUUUAAGUGAGCUGAUAUAUCCAAGAAUGUCUAGAACAGCGCGUGGCAGAAUGGGCAUUGCAUAUGGGUUUAAUCUUGUAACUGCCAUGUUUCACCAAUUCUAAGGUGUAUCUCGUUUCUCAUCAUAAGAGCUCUUCCGCUCGUGUGGCAGCUGGGAGUGGCCGUCAUUGCCUGCGCAUACCUAAACUUGGUCAGCAGCCAAGUGUUUUGUGAGACCUAAGAAAGGAAGAGCCCCAUAAGUAAAUGGAACUGUUGUGUUGUUUUAUUACCGAGAAAAGGGCAGAAUGAUUGCUAGUCACACGUGAAGCAAGAAAACCCCGGCAAUAAAGCUUGCAGAAUGAGUGGCUGAGGCUUGAAAAUAAAUGGUGGAAACAAUAGUGGACAAUCUUUUAAAGAAUGGCACAUUGCCAAUGCUCCUGAUGGCACAGAAGGUGACACCAUGCAGAAAAUCAAGGCUCUGAGUCAAAGAGGGUUUCAGAAAAAUUGGACUCUGAAUGUGAAGAAAUCUGGGGACUAUUUUAGCCAAUUUGUUUUGCCUAUAAUUUCCUUUUAUGCAUGCAAAAGAGCAAUUCUGACUUUAAAGACUGAUAUCUAAAUAAAUCUAAAAUAUCUUUUUUGUGUGUGUGUCUGUGAUACAGUGUCUCGCCCUUUCACCCAGGCUGGAGUGCAGUAGUGCAAUCUCAGCUCACU